UGCUGGAUAGCUCAGUUGGUUAGAGCAUGGUGCUGAUAAUGGCGAGGUUACGGGUUCGAUCCCCACAAGGGACCUCUGCAA